UUAUGCAACAUAAUAGGAAUUAAAGUUUUUACAAAUUCUUAAAGCAAAUCUAUAACUCCUAUGAAUGUGUUGUGUUGACUCUUUGAUGUAAAGUAAUCGAAGUUGGAAUAUGAAUUCUUUCUAGCCUUGUAGAAUAAGGAAUUCCACCCAUAUGAAACCAGGAAAAGUUUGCUACAUCAAACAUGGCAAAGCCCAUCUGAAACCAGGAAAAGUUUACUUCUUCAAGUCAUGGUAAAGCCCAUCUGAAACCAGGAAAAGUUUGCUUCUUCAAGUCAAUUCGAAUUGCUUCUUUGCGAGGGGUAAGGCCCAUGUAAAACCAGGAAAAGUUUGCCUCUCGAGUCAGUUCGAAUUGUAAAGGUUUCUUUCAGGUCUGAGAUGUUGGUUUGAGAUGAUCUUCUUUGCAAGGGGUAAGACAUGAGAAUUGUUUCUGUGCGAGGGGUAAGGCCCAUAUGAAGCCAGGAGAAGUUUGCUUCUUUCGAAUUGUAAAAGUCUUUUCCAGUCGACCACUGAUUUGAGAUGAUCUUUCUUUGCGAGGGGUAAGGGGUGAGUGUCCAGAUGACUAGGAUUUUAUAGGUAAAUAAAAAAUGACUUGUAGCCUAAGGAAUUCCACCCUUAUGAAACCAGGAAAAGUUUGCUUCUUCAAGCCAGUUUGAAUUGUAUAGCCUUUUUCCAGUCGAACCGGAUCUUCAAGCCAGCUCGAAUUGUAAAGGCCUUUUCUAGUCGACCCCGGAGAUGUUGGUUUGAGAUGAGCUUCUUUGCCAGGAAUAAGGCCCAGAAAAAGUUUGCUCUUUAAAUCUUAAAGUCAGUUCGAAUUGUAAAGGUCUUUUCCAGUCCGUUGGUUCGAGACGAACUUCUUUGCAAGAGGUGAGUGUCUAGAUGACUAGGAUUUCAUAUGCAAAUAAAUAAAAAAUAAGAAGUAAUGAGAUGAUAGAAUUAAAGAUAGUUACCAAAAAAAAUACAAUGAACCAGUAAGAUUGAUGAAAUAGCAAUAAAUGCAAUAGAACGAAUCAAUAGGAUUGAUGAAGUAGCAAUUAAUGCAAUAGGAUAAAGUAAUAUUACAAAAUGAAACGAUUUUAUAAAGGAUAUAAUGAAAUAGAAAGAUAUAAUGAAAUAGAACAGACAGACUAAAAUUCCUUAAUUCAUUCUUCCCUUAACGAUAGAUUUGAUGGAUCUAACCAAUAAUUAAAAUUAAUUCAAAACCUUAAGGAUAGAUUUGAUGGAUCCAACAAACAAUUAAAAGUAAUUCAAAAAAUAGUGUUCUUAUUCGACGCGCCUCGUGAUCUUCAACCAAUUUCAAUACUCAACUACGACCAAUUGUAUGCGAUUUCAAAAUCUUCCUACGAUCAAUUGUAUGCGAUUUCAUAAUCUUCCUAAAGAAUGGCGUCUUCCUGUUCUACCGAUCAGGAUACGUGGAUCGAUUCCUUCCUUAGAAUCGGCGAUUUCGGAAUCUUUGUCCAAUGGCAUGUUCCUGUUCUCCUCGAUCAAGAUAGGUGGAUCAAUUCCUUCUCUUAUAACCGUAUUUGAGAGUUUUGAUCCCUCAUAUUUGGAUCAUAUUUGUACAAGCAUGUCUUAUGUAUUUCUAUGAAAAAAAAAAAAAGAGAAAUACACAUAAAUACAUAAGUAAUGAAAAUAAUUUAUAUAAAUACACUUACAAAGAAAUAGAGAAAUACACACAACUACAAAAGUAACAUAAAUAAUUUACAUAAAUACACCUGGGAUAAAUGAACUUCAGGUAAAUAUAAAAGUUAACAC
rnacentral:lncRNA from 1 species